CGCCAUAAAAGAUUCAAGCGUGUAUUUUUCUUACUUACGCCGGUGCGACGUUGAUGCUCCGCUAGAGUACUGUUCCAUCGUGCACUCUUUCACUUAUUUUGAGAAGGCAGGAUUAAUUACACCAGGAUGGGACGUGAAUCAAGGUAUGCGUAAGUGACUUCUUAAAUAUUUACUUUUUUAUUUUCAUAUAUAGGAAGCUGCCUUUAAAUUAGCGUUGUUUUGAGUGGCUAACAUUAGCAUGCUAGCUAAACAUGAUGUUUUUGUCUGUAACAUAAGCCUUCGUGCGUAUUUCCUUAUGAAAUAGUUUGUCGAUGAGGGCUAACGUUAUUUUUUGUUUGGAUUUAGGCAUUAUAGGAAACGCUCUGCGUCUCGGGGACGGUCGGGUUCCCGCUCGAAGAGUCGGUCCCCCGAAAAACGCUCCAAAAAAGAUGACAGAGACCGAAGCAGGAGGGACAGGUCACGGAGCCGCGACCGUCGGAGGUCCCGAUCCAGAGACAGAAAACGAGCCAGGCGCUCUCGAAGCAGAGACAGGAGGAGGUCCAGGAGCCGUGACAGAAAGAGGUCAUCCAGCAGGAGUCGAGCCCGCAGGUCCCGAUCCGGCAGCGCAGGAAAAAGCAAGAAAACAGAUGAAAAGUGAGAAUUAUUAGGAAACCAAAACCUUUGGAGUCAUAGAAGUCUUUCAUCAAAUUCUUGACCAAAUUCAAAAAUUAUUUUGAUUAAUUUCAGCAACGGAAAAAUGCUAUAAAACAUAUCAAAUCUGUUUAAGAUAAUUAAUAAAUUAAUCGGAAAAUAUUUCUUGAUGUUAUGAUGGCUCCUAAUCAUAAAUAGACCUAUUUCUAGCCAUAAAUAAAAUGUGCAUUGAAAACAUUAAUUAUGAUUGAGUGAAAAAAAAAGUAACAACUAAAGAAAUUCAGAGCAAAUAAAAAAAAAUAAAGCAAAAGAUAGGUUGGUUCAAACAAAAUCAACUUUAUAAUUUGCUUAUGAUCACAAAUUUUCACUCUCUAUCAGUCAAAUUAUACUGCUCACAAAAAUUAAAGGAACACUUUUUUUUUUGUUUAUUGGGCCUGGCAUGAAUUGAAUUAAACCUGUCUGAUCAUUUUCCUGUUGGUUAAUCAGCUGAGGGCCUCGUUAUUCAAUUCCAGCUGUAUUGGUGUUCAUGAAUUAACAACAGGUGCGCUUCAGUGGCAACAAUUAGAAAACCCUCCAAACAGGACUGGUGUUACAUGUGGAGGCCAUUUCAAGUUUGAAUGAAUGAAUGAAUGAAAUGGUUUAUUUCAAGCAAUCAGGUCAUGAUACAUGAAAUAACAUCACAUAAUGAAUCACAAGUAGAUCGCUUGAAAAGGAGUGGAGGGAAGCGAAUUUAUAUAAUCCCACCUCGGCUCGACCAUUUUCUCUACAUAAUCGAUAUCCAGUUCAGGAUUUAAUAUCAAAUAUUAAUAGAUUCAGGUUAUUAAGAAUCAUUAAUAUCAUUGAUGUAAUCAAAUGCUUGUUGCUUGAAAAUACUUGUUGAGAUUGUAUUCAAAGAAUUAUAAUAAUACAAAAAGUAAUAAGUAAAUCAUCUUCAUUUGCUAAUUCAGAAAAAAAUCUAAAUAUUCUCAUUAAGAAAAAGAGACAAUUGGUGCAGAUUGUAUGUAUCAAAGAAUUAUUAAAAAAUCAAAAUGUACUAAUUAAAAAAAACAAAACAAUUUGGUUGAAUGUCUCUACCCAAACAAUCAGGAACAGACUUCAUGAAGGUGGCCUGAGGGCCCCACGUCCUGUAGUGGGCCCUGUGCUCACUGCCCAGCACCGUGGAGCUCCACUGGCAUUUGCUCAAGAACACCAGAAUUGGCAGGUCCGCCACUGGCGCCCUGUUCUUUUCACAGACGAGAGCAGGUUCACUCUGAGCACCUAUGAUAGACGUGAAAGAGUCUGGAGAAGACGAGGAGAACGCUAUGCUGCCUGCAACGUGGUUCAACAUGACAGGUUUGGUGGUGGAUCAGUGAUGGUCUGGGGAGGCAUAUCCAUGGAGGGACGCACAGACCUCUACUGCCUAUGCUGCUCUGACUGCCAUAAGGUAUCCAGAUGAAAUCCUUGAACCCAUUGUCAGACCCUACGCUGGUGCAGUAGGUCCUGGUUUCCUCCUAAUACACGACAAUGCCCGGCCUCACGUGGCAAGAGUCUGCAGGCAGUACCUGGAGGAUGAAGGAACUGAAACAAUUGAAUGGCCUUCACCAUCCCUGACUUAAACCCAAUAGAACAUCUCUGGGACAUUAUUUUUGGGUCCAUUAGGCGCCGCCAGGUUGUUCCUCAGACUGA
ensembl:lncRNA